UUUUGGACAAUGGGGGCAACCCUGAUCCAGCCAUCCCGCGUGUGCGAUGAAGGCCUUCGGGUUGUAAAGCACUUUGGGCGGGGAAGAAAACGCUCUGGCUAAUACCUGGAGCUGCUGACGGUACCUGCAGAAUAAGCACCGGCUAACUACGUGCCAGCAGCCGCGGUAAUACGUAGGGUGCAAGCGUUAAUCGGAAUUACUGGGCGUAAAGGGUGCGCAGGCGGUUCCGAAAGAAGGAUGUGAAAUCCCAGGGCUUAACCUUGGAAGUGCAUUCUUAACUGCCGGGCUAGAGUAUAUCAGGGGGGAGUAGAAUUCCGCGUGUAGCAGUGAAAUGCGUAGAGAUGCGGAGGAAUACCGGUGGCGAAGGCAGCCCCCUGGGAUAAUACUGACGCUCAUGCACGAAAGCGUGGGGAGCAA
rnacentral:rRNA from 1 species